rnacentral:rRNA from 1 species
UACGUAGGGGGCAAGCGUUGUCCGGAUUUAUUGGGCGUAAAGCGCACGCAGGCGGUGCGGUAAGUUUCGAGUGACAGGUGGUGGCUUAACUGCCACAGGACUCGGAAAACUGCCGCACUUGAGGGCUUGAGAGGGACGCGGAAUUCCAGGUGGAGCGGUGAAAUGCGUAGAGAUCAUGAGGAAGACCAGUGGCGAAGGCGGGUCUCUGGACAGUUCCUGACACUGAGACACGAGGCCAGGGGAGCAAACGGG